rnacentral:rRNA from 1 species
AUUGAACGCUGGCGGCAGGCCUCACACAUGCAAGUCGAACGAGUGGCGGACGGGUGAGUAAUGUCUGGGAAACUGCCUGAUGGUGGGGGAUAACUACUGGAAACGGUAGCUAAUACCGCAUACCAUCAGAUGUGCCCAGAUGGGAUUAGCUAGUAGGUGGGGUAACGGCUCACCAAGGCGACGAUCCCUAGCUGGUCGGAGUGGAUGACCAGCCACACUGGAACUGAGACACGGUCCAGACUCCUACGGGGGGCAGCAGUUGGGAAGAUUGCAAAAUGGGCGAAAGCCUGAUGCAGCCGUGCCGCGUGUGUGAAGAAGGCCUUCGGGUUGUAAAGCACUUUCAGCGGGGAGGCGUUACCCGCAGAAGAAGCACCGGCUAACUCCGUGCCAGCAGCCGCGGUAAUUC